rnacentral:rRNA from 1 species
UCCGGUGGCGAUACCGAAGGGGCAACACCCGUUCCCAUCUCGAACACGGAAGUUAAGCUCUUCAGGGCCGAUGAUACUAUGACUGUGAGGUCAUGGGAAAGUAGGACGCCGCCGGAU